GGUGAGUGAGGCUCGUAUUACCUGAAUGUACUGCUUAUGUGUAAUAGCACCUAAGUUCUAGAAUUACACUGAGAUUUG
ensembl:snoRNA